rnacentral:antisense_RNA from 1 species
CCCAGCUAGGCCGGCCGCCGCGGCCUGUUCCGCCCAGCGCCCGGGCAUUCCCGCCAUUCCCCCGGGUCGGCCCGCGGGCCACGGCCGCCUGCGGAGCACGGGAACCGUCACCUCCCGAGGACAGGCGCCCUCGCCUCGGGACCCGGCUCCCCUGCUGCCUGCGCCGCUCUGUCCGCCUGGAGCUGCCCAAGCCUCCAGCAAGGGCCACCGAGGGCUCCAGGAACACCCCAGGCCCGUUCUCCCGGCCCACAGCGCCCCACCUGUGACCCUCAGCGACCCUCCCGGGCUGCCCUCCGGCGGCGCGGCUGUCUGGAGGCUCGGCCCCGUCGCAGCCCCGCGGCCUCCCAGCCCGGCGCCGGGUGGGGAGGGGAGGGUGGCAUUCCCGAGUCCGCGGAGGGAAGCGUCGCGGCUGCAGUCGCGCCAGCCCUCGGGCCUCCAUCCGCCACGCUGCGACGCGGCUCACAAACUAGGGAGGGGAGAAGGGAAGAAACACCCGGUUCGGGAACACGACUUUGUCCCUGGAACUGUAUACAUCACGUCCCCUCACUUAAUCCUCACAAGACCUGUGGGCCGUGUCGUCAUUUUAGGGCUGGAGAUGAGGAAGCCGAGGCUCGGAGAGAUGAAGCGUCGUACGGCCACUGAGCGGCUGCUUUGCAACGAAGCCAAAGCCAACAUUUGUUCUUAGCGGCAGUGGUUUGAGCCACGCCUUACCGCAGCGACUCUGCCAUCAGCCAAGAGGUGGAGUGAAGGUACCUGAGCGCAGGAACCAUGGUCUUCACUGCUGCCUCAGCAUUAGCUGAAGUGCCAUGGGCCGGCUCCCAGGGUGCCAGAGUUUCCCAGGAACACCAUUGAGUACCACUGUCUGCAAGUUAAAGUAAGGCAAGAAGGAAAACCAGAAACAGCUGUAAAAACCUGACUUCAUCACCUUAAUACUGGCCAUCAUUUAUCGAGUGCUUAUUAUAUAACAGACAUUGUUCUGUGUGUGAGUGCGGUGUUCCUCGAACAUAAAUGUGCGUCUGAAUCGCAGGGGACCUUGGUAAAAUGCAGUUUCUGAUUCAGUACCUCUGGAGUGGGGCCUGAGAUUCUGCAUUUCCAACAAGCUCCCAGGAUACUUUGUGUAGAAAGGCUUUGGUGUAUUAACUCGAUCUUCUUAAUAAUCCUAUGAAAUACCACUGCUAUUCCCAUUUUACAGAUGGGGAACCAGGUUAGGCGUAUAUGAACUUACAUCAAAAUAAAUAGACUGCAGGGCAAGGAGGGAGGGGAGAAUAGUGUGGGCCGUGUACAAUGAAGAAACAGAGUUCUAGGCAGAGGAAAAAGGAUUUACAGAAAGCCUGGCAUACAGGGCAGGGGGACGGGGCCUGCACACGGGGCUGUUUCACUGUUAGACGUUAUAUGCACAGUACUUGGGGCUAUGGGCUUCCUGAAGGUCCCAAGUAUUUGAGACCUGAAAAAAAUUUAUUGACACCUACAUAGGAAAAAUGAACAUUUAAAUUAAUAAUUCCAAAAUUCAAAUCAUGAAUUGUUUCAAAAAUUUUACAUGAUAGAAUUCAUAUUUAGUAAGUGAUAUGGGUAUAUUUUAAUGCAUUUGAUUUUAAAAACGAGGUAGGGCCUACUAAGAACAGGCCAAGCCCUGGCCCCAGUGGGUUUGGAUAUAAUCCUGAGGGCAGCUGGGAACCACUGAGAAGCAGGAGAAUGUUCUCUGUGGCUACAGUGAGGAGAAUGGAUUGGAGGGAGGCCAGACUAGAGGCUCAGUGGCUAGAGACCAGAUAGGCAGUUACAGUCUUCCAGACUGCGAGACAAUCUCUCUUUAGUGCCAAGAUUAGCAUAAAAUCAUAGCAUUAUAUAACCCAAUUAUUCUUUGAUUCCUUCGGCCCCAAUCUGACUCAGCAUUCUAAAUUUACUUAAGAUCUGGGGACAAGGGUUUUUGGCAAAUCCUUGAAGGCAAAUGAUGUUACAGUCAAUCAGUAUAUGCCUUGAGACAGACAGACAUGGAUGCGGGCCUCAGUUCUGCUGCUUGCUAGCUAUGUGACUGCACAAGUGAUUUAACUUCUCUGGGCCUUGGAUUCCUUACUGGUAACAUGAGCAUAAUUGAUUCCUCACAGAAUUAAGUGAGAAAACUAUGUAUAUAGGACUUCUUAUGGAGUGGGUACUUAGAAAUAAAUGGUAGCCGUUA